rfam:Clostridium sp. SY8519 DNA, complete genome.
GGAGAAAUACUCAAGUUGGCUGAAGAGGCGCCCCUGCUAAGGGUGUAGGUCGUUCACGCGGCGCGAGGGUUCAAAUCCCUCUUUCUCCG